UGGGGAAUUUUGGACAAUGGGGGAAACCCUGAUCCAGCCAUCCCGCGUGUGCAAUGAAGGCCUUCGGGUUGUAAAGCACUUUUGGCAGGAAAGAAACGUCAUGGGUUAAUACCCCGUGAAACUGACGGUACCUGCAGAAUAAGCACCGGCUAACUACGUGCCAGCAGCCGCGGUACUACGUAGGGUGCAAGCGUUAAUCGGAAUUACUGGGCGUAAAGCGUGCGCAGGCGGUUCGGAAAGAAAGAUGUGAAAUCCCAGAGCUCAACUUUGGAACUGCAUUUUUAACUACCGGGCUAGAGUGUGUCAGAGGGAGGUGGAAUUCCGCGUGUAGCAGUGAAAUGCGUAGAUAUGCGGAGGAACACCGAUGGCGAAGGCAGCCUCCUGGGAUAACACUGACGCUCAUGCACGAAAGCGUGGGGAGCAAACAGG
rnacentral:rRNA from 1 species